rnacentral:rRNA from 1 species
AGCGAACACUGGCGGCAUGCUUAACACAUGCAAGUCGCAAGAACCUUUCGGGGUUAGUGGCGGACGGGUGAGUAACGCGUAGUAAUCUGUCCACGGGUGGGGGAUAACUCUGGAAAACUGGAGCUAAUACCGCAUGAUAUCUGAUGUUCAAAGGCGCAAGUCGCCUCGGGAGGAGCCUGCGUUCGAUUAGCUAGUUGGUGGGGUAAAGGCCUGCCAAGGCGAUGAUCGAUAGCUGGUUUGAGAGGAUGAUCAGCCACACUGGGACUGAGACACGGCCCAUACUCCUACGGGAGGCAGCAGUGGGGAAUAUUGGACAAUGGGGGCAACCCUGAUCCAGCAAUGCCGCGUGUGUGAAGAAGGUCUUCGGAUUGUAAAGCACUUUCGACGGGGACGAUGAUGACGGUACCCGUAGAAGAAGCCCCGGCUAACUUCGUGCCAGCAGCCGCGGUAA